rnacentral:rRNA from 1 species
UCGGGAAUUUUGUGCAAUGGGCGAAAGCCUGACACAGCAACGCCGCGUGAAGGAUGAAGUAUUUCGGUAUGUAAACUUCGAAAGAAUAGGAAGAAUAAAUGACGGUACUAUUUAUAAGGUCCGGCUAACUACGUGCCAGCAGCCGCGGUAAUACGUAGGGACCAAGCGUUGUUCGGAUUUACUGGGCGUAAAGGGCGCGUAGGCGGCAAUUCAAGUCAUCUGUGAAAUCUCCGGGCUUAACUCGGAACGGUCAGAUGAUACUGCUUUGCUAGAGUGCAGAAGGGGCAAUCGGAAUUCUUGGUGUAGCGGUGAAAUGCGUAGAUAUCAAGAGGAACACCUGAGGCGAAGGCGGGUUGCUGGGCUGAUACUGACGCUGAGGCGCGAAAGCUAGGGUAGCAAACGGGAUUAGAUACCCAGGUAGUCCCUGAGCGGGCUGGCAAGGCGCAU